rnacentral:rRNA from 1 species
UUGCCCCAGUAACGGCGUAGUGAAGCGGCAACAGCUCAAAUUUGAAAUCUGGGGUCCUUUGGGCCUCCGUGUUGUAGUUUGCAGUGGGUGCCUCGGUGGGCGUGCCGGCCCAAGUGCCUUGGAACAGGAUACCGCAGUGGGUGUGUGUCCCGUAUCCGGCCGGUGGCGCGCUCCGUGUGAGGCCUCUUCGACGUGUCGAGUUGUUUGGGAAUGCAGCUCCAAGCGGGUGGUAAAUUCCAUCUAAAGCUAAAUACUGGCCAGAGACCGAUAGCGAACAAGUAGAGUGAUCGAAAGAUGAAAAGCACUUUGAAAAGAGAGUCAAACAGUACGUGAAAUUGUUGAAAGGGAAGCGCAUGGGGGCAGACUUGGCCGCGGGGUUCAGGGUGCGUUCUCGCGCCUGCACUUCCCCGCGGACAGGCCAGCAUCGGUUCUGGGGGCCGGACAAAGGGGCCGGGAAGGUAGCCGCCUUCGGGCGGUGUUAUAGCCCGGCGCGCAAUGCGGCCACCUGGGACCGAGGACCGCGCUUCGGCAAGGAUGCUGGCGUAAUGGCCUCAUGCGGCCCGUCUUGAAACACGGACCAAGGAGUCUAACAUCUAUGCGAGUGUUUGGGUGGCAAGCCCGGGCGCGCAAUGAAAGUGAACGGAGGUGGGAGCUGUCGUAGGCGCACCAUCGACCGAUCCGGACGUUUUCCGAAGGAUUUGAGUAGGAGCAUAGCUGUUGGGACCCGAAAGAUGGUGAACUAUGCGUGAAUAGGGUGAAGCCAGAGGAAACUCUGGUGGAGGCUCGCAGCGGUUCUGACGUGCAAAUCGAUCGUCAAAUUUGCGUAUAGGGGGCGAAAGACUAAUCGAAACCAUCUAGUAGCUGGGUUCCUGCGA